AAUUCUGUCGCCAAAUUGUGGCUUGCUGGCAUUUGCGUGUUGCUCAUCUAGCGGCACAAGUCGCCAUUGUUGGCGAUUUUUAAUUGUUUUAAUAUUUAACUAAUCAAACAAUUUUUGUUUUUUUUCUUGAAAAAUGCCGAGAUACAACCAAUUAAAAAAAAAAUCGGAAAAAUAUUUCCGAGGAUUAUCCCGCCACAAAGCCUUACAAAUUUGAAUCCAUACUGGACCAAGGAUUACUGUUAGCUGACCGGAAUCAACCAGUUUACCUUAUCAAAUGGGAAAAUUUCGAUGAUAAUUACAACUCUUGGGAGCCAGAGUCUUUUUUUAAGAAUCAACAGGGAAUUUUGGCAAAAUUCCAAAAACAAUUCUUAGAGAAUGGUGGGGACCCCCACAAGACUGUCACGGCGGAAAUGGUGGCUCACCAAUAUGACCAUAUGGGACGCUCCACCAGAGCUGGCAGCUCACACGAUUCACAAACCAACCACAACACUCCACAGACACUACCGAAGCAAACACGGUACAAUUUUCGAAGUGUCAGUAAAUCCACAAAGCCAACAACAUGCAAUACUUCAAUGAAUGAAGAAUUGAGAUCUGAGCAUGUGGAUGUUCAUAUGAUGGAUAGGUAUGUGGAUCAGAUGGAUGUGGAUCAUCCAUCCUAACAAGAUUUGUUGCGGAUGCCGAAUGAAGAUGAAUGAAGAUGGAUCCUAUACAUCGUUUUCAUAUACAGAAAAUCUUAACAUGGAUGAAAUAAAGAAAAUUGAUUCUGAAAUUUAAAAACAAAUAAUAAUGGCAAAAAGAUAAUCGUGACGUCCACACACUACUAUUGAUAAUGGUAGAUGAAGCAGUAAAUGCAUACAACAUUAGUCAUCUAACUUUGCAGCGAAUGUCUGUCACCCACAAACCUAGUAGAACAAGCUCUCAUAUAUGA